rnacentral:rRNA from 1 species
AUACGAAGGGGGCUAGCGUUACUCGGAAUUAUUGGGCGUAAAGCGUGCGUAGGCUGCUUAGUAAGUCAAAAGUGAAAGCCUUGGGCUCAACCUAAGAAUUGCUUUUGAAACUACUAAGCUUGAGUACUGUAGGGGGUAGCGGAAUUCCUAGUGUAGGGGUGAAAUUCGUAGAUAUUAGGAGGAACACCGGAGGCGAAAGCGGUUAUCUGGACAGUCACUGACGCUGUUGCACGAAAGCGUGGGGAGCAAACAGGAUUAGAUACCCUGGUAGUCCACGCUGUAAACGAUGAGUGCUA